CCUACGGGAGGCAGCAGUGAGGAAUAUUGGUCAAUGGGCGCGAGCCUGAACCAGCCAAGUCGCGUGAGGGAUGACUGUCCUACGGGUUGUAAACCUCUUUUGUCAGGGAAUAAAGUGAGGCACGUGUGCCUUUUUGUGUGUACCUUAUGAAUAAGGAUCGGCUAACUCCGUGCCAGCAGCCGCGGUAAUACGGAGGAUUCGAGCGUUAUCCGGAUUUAUUGGGUUUAAAGGGAGCGUAGAGGGGUGGUUAAGUCAGUGGUGAAAGUUUGGGGCUCAACCGUCGAAUUGCAGUUGAUACUGGCAGCCUUGAGUAGAGGAGAGGUAGGCGGAAUGCGUGGUGUAGCGGUGAAAUGCUUAGAUAUCACGAAGAACUCCGAUUGCGAAGGCAGCAUACUA
rnacentral:rRNA from 1 species